rnacentral:rRNA from 1 species
GACGAACCGUCCAAACGUUAUUCGGAAUCACUGGGCUUAAAGGGUGCGUAGGCGGCGCGGAAAGUUGGGUGUGAAAUCCCUCGGCUUAACCGAGGAACGGCGCCCAAAACUACCGUGCUUGAGGGAGAUAGAGGUGAGCGGAACUUAGGGUGGAGCGGUGAAAUGCGUUGAUAUCCUAAGGAACACCGGUGGCGAAAGCGGCUCACUGGAUCUCUUCUGACGCUGAUGCACGAAAGCUAGGGUAGCGAACGGG